rnacentral:rRNA from 1 species
AACGAACGCUGGCGGCAGGCCUAACACAUGCAAGUCGAGCGAGGACUUCGGUUCUAGCGGCGGACGGGUGGGUAACGCGUGGGAAUGUGCCCUUCUCUACGGAAUAGCCCUGGGAAACUGGGAGUAAUACCGUAUACGCCCUAUUGGGGAAAGAUUUAUCGGAGAAGGAUCAGCCCGCGUGGGAUUAGGUAGUUGGUGGGGUAAUGGCCUACCAAGCCGACGAUCCAUAGCUGGUUUGAGAGGAUGAGCAGCCACACUGGGACUGAGACACGGCCCAGACUCCUACGGGAGGCAGCAGUGGGGAAUCUUAGACAAUGGGGGCAACCCUGAUCUAGCCAUGCUGCGUGAGUGAUGAAGGCCUUAGGGUUGUAAAGCUCUUUCAGCUGGGAAGAUAAUGACGGUACCAGCAGAAGAAGCCCCGGCUAACUCCGUG